AUGGCAAACCCUCACGUGGUCCAGAAGCGUAAAACAGUUUCAAUGAAGAAGAAUCUGCAGUUGCCUCAAACCAAGGAGAAGAUGGUGAGUGCAGAUGCUGAAGUAAAUAUGGUCAAGGAAGCUGUGCUUCAAACCGAUACGCCAACUGUAGUGAGCAGAGAGCCAACCACUAUCACGGGAGUUCAACAGAUCAAGGGGAAGACUCCCUAUUCAAUAGUCCCACCAAAACCACUUAAGCAGCAAAAGAUUGUCAAGUUUGCCAGGGGCACAAAGGGGGAACAGGCCACAAAAGGGGUGCCAAGUUCUGCUAGGUUGCUGUCAACUCAGACUGGAAAGAUGCCAACUACAGAUACCAAUGUGCCAACUGAUGUGUCAGCUAGCAGCGUGGUCACAGUCAAAACCACCAUGGCUGCUCAGGAAGGCACCACUGCAACUGCAAGCCCCAAGGUUCCUACUCAUAGAGAUGCUUCAAUGCCAAACACAAAAGGAGGUGAUCCUACUACCAAAUUGCCGUCCUCAAGAGCCAGCACACAGGAGCCAAGCAAGCCUACAUCACCAAGAGCUGACUUUCAGCAAGCACUAACACAAGAGGAGGUGUUCAACAUUAUAAGUAGGUGCAAGCCUCCAAGGCCGCCAACUACAACACUAUCGCGAACCAAGUCAGUGAAUGAUGCACCCGUGUUUUGCCGCAAGGAGAUACCCUGGUCCUUGAACCCAUACGAAGAUCAAACUCUUAUCAUGGUGAUGGGUUCUGCGAUGCACCAUCUUUUGACCUCGGCAUAG
rnacentral:rRNA from 1 species